GAUCCUGGCUCAGAAUCAACGCUGGCGGCGUGCCUAACACAUGCAAGUCGCACGAGAAAGCGGGCUUCGGCCUGCAAGUAAAGUGGCGCACGGGUGAGUAACACGUGAAUGAUCUACCUCCGAGUGGGGAAUAACCUAGAGAAAUCUGGGCUAAUACCGCAUAACACUUACGAGUCAAAGCAGCAAUGCGCUUGGAGAGGAGUUCGCGGCAGAUUAGUUAGUUGGCAGGGUAAUGGCCUACCAAGACGAUGAUCUGUAUCCGGCCUGAGAGGGCGCACGGACACACUGGAACUGAAACACGGUCCAGACUCCUACGGGAGGCAGCAGUGGGGAAUUUUGCGCAAUGGGGGAAACCCUGACGCAGCAACGCCGCGUGGAGGAUGAAAUCCCUUGGGAUGUAAACUCCUUUCGAUCGGGACGAUUAUGACGGUACCGGAAGAAGAAGCCCCGGCUAACUUCGUGCCAGCAGCCGCGGUAAUACGAGGGGGGCAAGCGUUGUUCGGAGUUAUUGGGCGUAAAGGGCGCGUAGGCGGUUUGACAAGUCUGAUGUGAAAUCUCUGGGCUCAACCCAGAGUCUGCAUUAGAAACUGUCGGGCUUGAGUAUGGGAGAGGUGAGUGGAAUUUCCGGUGUAGCGGUGAAAUGCGUAGAUAUCGGAAGGAACACCUGUGGCGAAAGCGGCUCACUGGACC
rnacentral:rRNA from 1 species